rnacentral:rRNA from 1 species
GACGAACCGUCCUAACGUUGUUCGGAAUCACUGGGCUUAAAGGGCGCGUAGGCGGGCCAGCAAGUCUAGGGUGAAAUCCUCCGGCUUAACCGGAGAACAGCCUUGGAUACUGCUGGUCUCGAGGGAGGUAGGGGUCUGCGGAACUUCUGGUGGAGCGGUGAAAUGCGUUGAUAUCAGAAGGAACGCCGGUGGCGAAAGCGGCGGACUGGACCUUCACUGACGCUGAGGCACGAGAGCAUGGGGAGCAAACGGG